rnacentral:sRNA from 1 species
CUUUUUGCCACCGCCCCCAACUUUCUACAUCCUUGCAGCCCCUACCUUUUCUUGUGUUGCUCCUCCCCUGGCAGCCGUGCGGGGGGUUAGAUCUCAGCCGGAGCGGGAGCUGGGCCUAGCUGUCCCCACGGGCCACCACUACCUCCUUUGGUUCGGGAGAAAGCUACGACUGAGUACUCCCAGCCGUCCCCGCUCGGGCCUUGGAACUUCUGAACGGGCAGUGCGGGUAGACCCUGCUUAGCCCUUCCCAGAGGACACCUGUGAGUUUAAGGGGUUUCGGAGAGGCCGUGUAGGCCCAGGUUGGGGGCGGGGCAUGGGAAACUUUUCCGAAACGGUAGCGUUUUGUUUUGCGUGGGAGGUUCCAGCAGUAUCUCUUGGUUAUUCCAAAUUUAUGGGCGGCAUCUGGGCUGCUGUACAUUUUGAAGAAUCUUAGGACCGCUUACUUUGCUUACUCGUUUUUCUUCCUCGCGUACUGCCUCGUCCACCACUCCAGGACCAAAAGAGGAAGAUAGUCUUGGGACCCCUGCAUGGUGUUUCAAAGGGUGGUGAAGAACUAAGGUAUAUCCUUUCUGAAGAGUCCUGGUGAAGGAAUUACAUAUAACCUUGAGUGUUCUCUCAUUUGCUGGAGGAGAGGUCAAGUUGAGGACACAAAUUCCAAGUUGCAAAUUCCAGGAUCAAAUACUUUAUCACGAGAAAUUACUAGG